rnacentral:misc_RNA from 1 species
GAUGAAGAACGUAGUGAAAUGCGAUAAUUAAUGUGAAUUGCAAAUUCAGUGAAUCAUCGAGUCUUUGAACGCACAUUGCGCCCCCUGGUAUUCCGGGGGGCAUGCCUGUCCGAGCGUCAUUGCUGCCCUCAAGCACGGCUUGUGUGUUGGGCCCCGUCCUCCGAUUCCGGGGGACGGGCCCGAAAGGCAGCGGCGGCACCGCGUCCGGUCCUCGAGCGUAUGGGGCUUUGUCACCCGCUCUGUAGGCCCGGCCGGCGCUUGCCGAUCAACCCAAAUUUUUAUCCAGGUUGACCUCGGAUCAGGUAGGGAUACCCGCUGAACUUAAGCAUAUCAAUACGGAGGA